AGGGUUGAGGGCUCACUAUACUAAAAUUGGAACAACACAGAGAAGAUAGUAUGGCCCCUAUGCAAGGAUGACACCUAAAUUUGUGAAGUGUUCCAUACUGCU